GAGCCCCAAACGCCGGCAGGAUGGUCCCAAGGGCAGCAGCGCCCGCUCCAGCCGCAGCCCGUCCUCCCCCUCGCCCCAGCGCUCGGCCUCGCCGCACCAGAACGGGCACAAGGGCAGCGCCCAGAACGGCCGCCACAGCCACGGCGCCCCGCUCCCGGAGCCCUCGGAUCCUCCCAUUUGAAAAAAACCCAAACGGUAAUAUACACUUCCAUUUCUUGCUCAGCAGAAGCAGGGACGAGGGGGAGGGAAGGGCAAUGAAACGUGCUUUUUUUCCCCGCCCCCUUGUUUUAGUUUCCUUUCUCAUGAUUUCUUUUCUUUUCCCUUGUGAUGUACAGAAAUGCAAACGAUAUUUAUUUCUCUUAUUUUUAUUUCCCGCCACCCCGUCGUCGUCGUGUUGUUCUAGAAUUUUUUGCUUUUGUGUGUGUUAAUGUGGAGAAGAAAAAAAAAAAAAGAACCAAAACAAAAACUAAAACCUGAUGUGUUUUCUAAAUAUUUAUGACCGCUGAACAUUGUAUUUCCAUUUUCUAUAUUUUGAUCAAGGAAUUUAAAAGGGAAGAGAACCCAGCAGCUCUACACUGCAAAGGAGCGAAUUGUCCUUUUCCUCCUCAAAUUCGCAAAUUCCCGGUGUCCUCUGCUGGAUCCUGCUGCCGUGGCGAGGUUUUCCUCCCCGGCUGCGGGAUGAGGCCGCUGGGUGCGGGGUUAUCCAAGCGGUCAUCCCGCAUCCUGCAUCCCGACAGGAUGAGUGCUGAGCAUCCUCGGUACCCAGCCCCCUUCCCACCUCCUGCCAGCUCCCCAAAAACUCCGGGCUCGUCCGCCAGCACCCCCAGAGCCGCCGGCAGCCAGGGGUUGCCUUCCCUUUUAAAUCCCCAGUCCUGUGUCCAUCCAUCCCUGCUGCCUUCCCAGCCUUCCUCCUCCUCCUCCUCCUGGCCCACACGCACCCUCCAGCCCCUCUCUCUCUCUCUCUCUCCGGUUUUCUUUGGGCCAACACAACCCGACAUCCCUCGCCGUGUCCCACCUCCAUCCAUCGCCUUCCCUGCAUGUUAUCCGGGACUUUGCCAUGUUAUAGAGUGAUUUUUUAAGACUGAACCGCAGCCUGAUGGGGUUACAGCCACCAGCCAGCCACCCCCCCGCGGCCCCACCGCUCGGCGGCCGGCCGCAGCCUUGCCAUUGAAAAACAAACAAAAAUUAAAAUAUAUAUAUAUAUAUAAAAAUAAGAAGCUAAAGAGACCAAUUAAAAAAAAAAUAUAUAAUUAAAAAAAAAUCUAAGCAAAGCAAACGGGAUUAGCCGAGGGGUCUGGAUCACCGUACUAAAGAGUCCUUGUCUUUUUCCCAUUCUGCCCUCCAAAUGUGGAGAUUAUUGUUUUCUUUUUUUAUUAUUGCAUUCCUGUCACUGCCAAUUCCAAAGGUAGGUAUUUUGUCCACCUCUGCACGUUCACUUCUGCAGAUGAGCCUGUUGAAAAGCACCGUAGCUUGAUUUAAUGUUAUUUUCUCUUUCUUUCUGACUUUCUUUCUCCUUCUUUCUCACUCUCCUUCUCUGUCUCUCAUUUUGUCUCUUUUUGGUGGCUAUAUAUAAUUUUUUUUUUUUAUUUGUAUGGUUUUCCCCAGUUAGCUGCAAAGCCAUGCUCUUCUCUUACGUUCCUUAUUUUUAUAUAUUUUUUUUUUGCCCUGUCCACGUAAUAUUUUUUUCUUUCUUCCCCCCUUUUCUCUUCCCCGUCUCCUCGUGCUGUCGGUAGAAUGCAUUUCUGUGUCUUUCAGCCCUCCGAAUUUGUGUUCGUUUCCAUUCAGGGGCCGAGCACGGCUGUUCCCUUUCAGUCCCCCAUUAGUGGCUGGGUAAUGAAGGCAGAUAUACUUAGGGAGAAAUAGGGGCAGUGACCACAGAUAGAAAUGGGCACAGGGGGUUUUGGGGUGGAUGGAUGGGGCAAGAAAUGAGAAAUCUGGGGAGAUGUGUGGGUUUAGCCCCUAUUCAGGGGGGAAAAACCCCAGCUCAGGGAAAAUACUGAGGGAGGCUGCAGUAGGGAAAGGUUUAAAUUUUCCUGCGUGGAGAGAGGCAGGUCCAGGACAUCCUGCGAGGGGCAGGGGACAGCAUCCCUGCGCUGGCUGUCCCAUCCCCACAGCGCCCAGUGUGUGUUUUCCCUCUUAGGCUGAGUCUUUGGCAAUUUGGGUUUAUUUGGGAUGCUUUUAUCUUUGUUCCCUUCCUGCACGCCAGGGCAGGAGACUCCAGGGUUUGGGUGGGAACCCUGCAUCCCACACCCUGAGCCCACAGCAUGGCCAGCCAGUGCCAAAAUGCCACUCUGGGAAAGAGGACCUCCCUCUCUUUCUCUCUUCAUCAUUCUCUUCUUCUUCAUCAUCUUCUCUGCUUUAAUGUUCCUCUCCUGGGAUGCAGGGCUGGGCAUGGGCUCUCCUGAUCCCCUGUUCCGAGGCUGCUGCAUCCCCCUGGAGCAGAUCCGUGUCCCCCGGCGCUUGCAGGGCAGCUGGGCAGGGCUGAUCGUCACUGCCAGCCUCCCCCUCGCUGCAGCCAUCGCAACAGCAACUGGUUUUUAAUAAAAACCCCAAUUUCCCCCCAUUUUGCCUGCUCUGUGGCUGGAGGGAUUGGCUUUUCCAUGGGGACAAGGAGUUGAUGGGGUGUGGAGCAGUCUGGGAUGCUCGGGGACAUGGAAGCCUCGCAUCCCUUUUGCAGCAUCUUUGUGGUGGCCCCCACAAUGCCAGCCCUUCACCCUGCCCUUUCUUUUUGGGGGAAGAAAAGUGGCAUUGAGAACACAGUUGGAUGGGUGGAGAGACCCUCAGCCUCGAGGAUUCACACUGACCAUUCACUGGUGUAUUUGGGGCAAGGGGAUGGCAAGGAACUGGGGUCACCAGCCCUGGGUUUGGUGGCACAAUCCUGGCAGCACCCCAAUAUCCCUGAACCCCCUGUGAUCCCCUCAGCUGGGCUCAGCGAUGCCCUGUGCAGGAUUCACCCUCCCAGGGGUUCUCAGGGACCUGGCACUGGGCUGUGGCUGGGGGGAAGGAGACCCCAAAGCCCCCUCUGAGCUGAGGUUUGCCAGCUUGUUCAGGACUGGUGUUGCAGGAGCCGUUUCCAGCCAUCUUUUUGCUCUCGUGGUGUUUGCAGAUGGGGGGAACACCCAGGCGGCGUUUGUGGCUCAGAGGAGCUCAGAUAUUUGGGAGCCUCAGGGCUGGGCAAAAUCCCUUGAGGUCUCAGUGAGAGCCUGGCUCAGGGCUUGGCCACGGUGGUGGCCCAAGGUUUCCCCUCCCUGUAGGAGAAGUGAGUUGGUUUGUUUUAUUUCUCCUCUCUCUGGCUCUGUCUCUGUCUCUCCUCCUUCUCUCGCUCUUUCUUUCUCUCUUGCAUUUUUGUGAAUCUAAUGAUGCACUUAUAUUGCCCCGCUUUUCCCUUCUCUUCAUACCUUACCUACUAAAGGAGGAAAUGCCACUUUUUUGGUAAGUGGAUGUUAACCAAGAGGGACUUAAAAAAAAAAAAAAAAAAAAA